UGACUGAGUGGCGGACGGGUGAGUAACGCGUGGGCAACCUGCCUUACACAGGGGGAUAACAGCUAGAAAUGGCUUGCUAAUACCGCAUAAGACCUCAGUACCGCAUGGUAGAGGGGUAAAAACUCCGGUGGUGUAAGAUGGGCCCGCGUCUGAUUAGGUAGUUGGUAGGGUAAGCGGCCUACCAAGCCGACGAACAGUAACCGACCUGAGAGGGUGACCGGCCACAUAGGGACUGAAACACGGCCCCAAACAUCCUACGGGAGGCAACAGUGGGGAAUAUUGCACAAAUGGGGGAAACCCUGAUGCAGCGACGCCGCGUGAAGGAUGAAGUGACUUCCGGUAUGUGAAACUUCUAUCAGCAGGGAAGAAGAUGACGGUACCUGACUAACAAGCCCCGGCUAACUACGUGCCAUCAGCCGCGGUAAUACGUAGGGGGCAAGCGUUAUCCGGAUUUACUGGGUGUAGAAGGGAGCGUUAGACGGCUAUGGCACGUCUGAAUUGAAAACCCGGGGCUCAACCCCGGGACUGCUUUGGAAACUGUCAGGCUAGAGUGUCGGAGAGGCAAGUGGAAUUCCUAGUGUAACGGUGAAAUGCGUAGAUAUUAGGAGG
rnacentral:rRNA from 1 species